rnacentral:rRNA from 1 species
UGGGGAAUCUUGCGCAAUGGCCGAGAGGCUGACGCAGCGACGCCGCGUGCGGGAGGAAGGUCUUCGGAUCGUAAACCGCUGUCGGGAGGGAAGAAAUCCCUAAGGAGGCAAUGCCUUGGGGCUGACGGUACCUUCAAAGGAAGCACCGGCUAACUCCGUGCCAGCAGCCGCGGUAAUACGGAGGGUGCGAGCGUUGUUCGGAAUUAUUGGGCGUAAAGCGCGCGCAGGCGGCGCGGUAAGUCCAGGGGUGAAAUGCCGGGGCUCAACCCCGAGCGUGCCCCGGAUACUGCCGAGCUGGAGGCAGGUAGAGGCUGGCGGAAUUCCGGGUGUAGCGGUGGAAUGCGUAGAGAUCCGGAAGAACACCAGAGGCGAAGGCGGCCAGCUGGGCCUGACCUGACGCUGAGGCGCGAAGGCGUGGGGAGCGAACAG